CAGGGGGCUCUAUCAAAUACCCAUAAGCCUACAUAAAUCAUAUAGAACGUUCAUCUUAUAUAUCAUAGUUUGUUUGUUUAGGAUAUCAUUAUUCCGAUUUUAACUUUAUUAUUUUUACAUCUGCACGAAUGCGCCCCCCCUUUUUGGAUUAUUUUGGAUCAUUCCAUUAGAACUGCGCAAUAAGCUGUUGGUCUUCGUUCAAGAAAAAGUUAAGAAGCGAGACGUCCUUUUCUGUGGCUGAGAUGAUCCGUAUUAAACACUUAACAUAACAAACAUGUAUGACAGAGGUACAGCAUAUGAGGAAGUAUGUGGAAGAGACCAUUGGGAACUUGAGAAGACCUUCUGAGUGUUGGAGGAUCGAGAAGCAGCUGGUUUUGUUGAGUCUAGAGGAGCAUGAAUCCAUUCUCCAGUACAAUGUGUCUCGCUCCAGUGACCCCAAUGCCAGAGCAGGCAUUGUUUCACCAGCCUGCACACCACCAUAUCUGUGAAGUGGUGGCAGAAGUCCUCAAACUCCAUCCUGGUGAAGGAAAGACACAAAGGUCUAGCAUAAAUUUGGAAUGUAUUCCCACUGUGUUUUCAGAGUACAAGCGUAAUGAAAUAUGUAAUUAUGUAGCAUUAUGUAAUCAGGUACAUCACAGAACAUUUUAUCCAGCCCUAUGUAUCUUGGUUGCUUCAAUGAUGUACAAGAAAUUAAUUCUUCAUGGUGAACUUGUUCAUUUUAGCAUUAAUAUAUCAUUAAUAUAGAGUAUGAGAGCAAUCAAACUGUGGUUCUGUGCAUGCUCACAUCACUGCUUUAGAGUUGCUGCGUUUUUGUGUGCACGCAUUCACUGCAUACAAUUCAAUUCAUUAGCUUGACAGUGUACACAAGACUUGCAUUACAUAGAAUCACAUGGUAUCUAAUGUUGGUUUUGGAGCAUUUGCUAUGAAUACAAGAAUGAAUAAGUGAGUACAUCAUCUGGCCCAAUUUCAUUAACACUAUCGAUGCAUCCCUUCUUUAAAUUUUAUUCAGUUCUGAAGAUUUUUCAAGAAUAAAACCAUUCGUUACCAAAAUUCUCCCACAUCUCUGACAAUCAGCCCCAUCUUCUCUCUCUCGCAGCGGCCCACCUUCUGCCAUUGCUGCGAGCUGCAGAUAUAUGCACAAUAUAAUUUAGAAUGAUUAAAAUAUUGACUCAAAAAUAAAUUGGUCAUACCAGCCUAAGGACUUUCAAAAAUAUGUAUAUAAACCAAAAAUAUAGGUGCAAUGUAUAACGCAUAUUACCCCUGGCUCCAGGCUCCAGUCCAGUCUGCUGUGCCCCACGGGUUCCUCAUGCGUAUCAUGUAGAGCCGGGAUGUUCCACAAACAGCCAGCAGAUUCUCCCCAACACGAAUCUUUUUAAGUGCAGUUACACCAUAUGCAUGGCCUUUCACUAAACCACAUUCCAGCACAGACUCGACCUGCUCUCCUUCUGCUGGCUGCACAGAAACAGACAUCAGGCAUGCAUAUGUCAUUAUAUAUUAAUUUAGAAUCCUUUAGAAAUAUGUUUGAUUUUUGCUGAAAGAGCUUUCUGUUUUUUUACCCGUAUGGA